rnacentral:misc_RNA from 1 species
GAUGAAGAACGUAGCGAAAUGCGAUAAGUAAUGUGAAUUGCAGAAUUCAGUGAAUCAUCGAAUCUUUGAACGCACAUUGCGCCCGCCAGUAUUCUGGCGGGCAUGCCUGUUCGAGCGUCAUUACAACCCUCAGGCCCCCGGGCCUGGCGUUGGGGAUCGGCGGAAGCCCCCUGCGGGCACAACGCCGUCCCCCAAAUACAGUGGCGGUCCCGCCGCAGCUUCCAUUGCGUAGUAGCUAACACCUCGCAACUGGAGAGCGGCGCGGCCACGCCGUAAAACACCCAACUUCUGAAUGUUGACCUCGAAUCAGUUAGGAAUACCCGCUGAACUUAAGCAUAUCAAUAAGCGGAGGA